rnacentral:rRNA from 1 species
UACGUAGGGUGCAAGCGUUAAUCGGAAUCACUGGGCGUAAAGCGACCGCAGGCGGCCUGACAAGUCGGAUGUGAAAGCCCUGGGCUCAACUCAGGAAUUGCAUUCGAAACUGGUAGGCUCGAGUACGGGAGAGGGGGGUGGAAUUCCUGGUGUAGGGGUGAAAUUCGUUGAUAUCAGGAGGAACACCGGCGGCGAAGGCGGCCCCCUGGCCCGCAACUGACGCUCAUGGUCGAAAGCGUGGGGAGCAAACAGG